GUAGUCCAUGCCGUAAACGUUGGGAACUAGAUGUAGGGACCAUUCCACGGUUUCUGUGUCGCAGCUAACGCAUUAAGUUCCCCGCCUGGGGAGUACGGCCGCAAGGCUAAAACUCAAAGGAAUUGACGGGGGCCCGCACAAGCGGCGGAGCAUGCGGAUUAAUUCGAUGCAACGCGAAGAACCUUACCAAGGCUUGACAUAUACCGGAAAAGUUCAGAAAUGUUCUCCCCGCAAGGUCGGUAUACAGGUGGUGCAUGGUUGUCGUCAGCUCGUGUCGUGAGAUGUUGGGUUAAGUCCCGCAACGAGCGCAACCCUCGUUCUAUGUUGCCAGCACGUAAUGGUGGGAACUCAUAGGAGACUGCCGGGGUCAACUCGGAG
rnacentral:rRNA from 1 species